CGGGUGAGUAACACGUAGCUAACCUGCCCUUGAGCGGGGGAGUAACCUGGGGAAACUCGGGCUAAUACCGCAUGACAUUCCGACUUCACAAGGAGAUGGAAUCAAAGGCCCGCAAGGGUCACUCAAGGAGGGGGGCUGCGGCCGAUUAGCUAGUUGGCGGGGUAAUGGCCCACCAAGGCGAUGAUCGGUAGCCGGCCUGAGAGGGCGCACGGCCACACUGGCACUGAAACACGGGCCAG
rnacentral:rRNA from 1 species